rnacentral:rRNA from 1 species
UACGGAGGGUGCAAGCGUUAUCCGGAUUCACUGGGUUUAAAGGGUGCGUAGGUGGUCAGUUAAGUCAGUGGUGAAAUCUCCGGGCUCAACCCGGAAACUGCCAUUGAUACUAUCUGUCUUGAAUAUCGUGGAGGUAAGCGGAAUAUGUCAUGUAGCGGUGAAAUGCUUAGAUAUGACAUAGAACACCAAUUGCGAAGGCAGCUUACUACCCGAAUAUUGACACUGAGGCACGAAAGCGUGGGGAUCAAACAGG